rnacentral:lncRNA from 1 species
AGCCCUGUCAGGCCUGGCAUGCCCACAGGCUGGCUCCAUCCAAGCCCUGUCAGGCCUGGCAUGCCCACAGGCUGGCUCCAUCCAAGCCCUGGCAUGCCCACAGGCUGGCUCCAUCCAAGGCUGGGCUGUGCUGGAGCUGCUCCAGGUUCUGCUAUAAAUAACAGGAUAAAUUUCCAAGAUCCGGUUUCAUUGCCCAGAGUGUCCCCAGAGCUGCUCUCUGCAGCCAUCCCACCUCCAGGCUCUUGGGGUGCCACAGCUCCCUCCCCAUUGUGGCUGUGCCUCCCUGGAUCUCGUUAUCCACUUGGAUUGCUCCUGCCAGCUCCUUCCUGCUUCCCCUGGGGCUCAGGGCAGCACUGGGGCAUCCAUCCUCCCUUCAGCAUUUGUGCUGGGACUUUAAUGGGAUUUGUGUCCCCAACAGGUCCCUUCUAGUGGGAGGUGUCCCUGCCCACAGCAGGGGCUUGGAACUGGGUGAUUUUAAGGUCCCUCCAACCCCAACCCAUUCCAUGAUCCUGUGAUCCUGCCAUGUGCCAGGAAAGCUCCAGAUGGUCCAGCAGGACCAGUCACAAGUCAGACCCAGCUGGAGCAGGGGAUGGUUGGAGUCCCUUUCUGCUUUUUGGGUUCCUUUCUUGCUUUUUGGAGUCCCUUUCUGCUUUUGGAGUCCCUUCCUUCUUUUUAAGGUCCCUUUCUUGCUUUUUGGAGUCCCUUUCUGCUUUUUAGGGUCCCUUUUUGCUUUUUGGGUUCCAUUCCUGCUUUUUGGGUUCCUUUCUUGCUUUUUGGGGUCCCUUUCUGCUUUUUGGGCUCCAUUCCUGCUUCUUGCUCGUAGUCUCUUUGUUCUCCUGUCUGGCUGGCAAAUUUCCUGUCUUUUGGGGUCCUUUUCUGUUUUAUGGGGUUCCUUUCUGCUUUUUGGAGCCCCUUUUAUGCUUUUUGGGCUCCAUUCCUGCUUCUUGCUCGUGGUCUCCUUGUUCUCCCCUGCCCUGGCACAUUGGGAUCACCAAGAGAAGGAUCCCAGCGCUGUCCUGGCAGCCAGCUGGCACAUUUUGGGUAUUUUUUGGUGCCCUUUGGCAGCGGCAGCCCCAGUGCCCUGACCCGUGGCUGUGCUCUGUUCCCAUUUUUUGCAGAGCCUCUCGGAGAAGUCCUGCAAGGUGUUCCGCAUUUUCCGCCAGUGGGAGAGCAUGGACUCCUCCUGCUGAGCACGGCAGGCAGCCCGGGCAGGGGACACGCCCA